UACGUAGGGGCUAGCGUUGUCCGGAAUUAUUGGGCGUAAAGAGCUCGUAGGCGGUGUGUCGCGUCGGCCGUGAAAACCUGCAGCUUAACUGUGGGCUUGCGGUCGAUACGGGCAUCACUGGAGUUCGGCAGGGGAGACUGGAAUUCCUGGUGUAGCGGUGAAAUGCGCAGAUAUCAGGAGGAACACCGGUGGCGAAGGCGGGUCUCUGGGCCGAUACUGACGCUGAGGAGCGAAAGCGUGGGGAGCGAACAGG
rnacentral:rRNA from 1 species